UACGUAGGGUGCAAGCGUUGUCCGGAAUUAUUGGGCGUAAAGAGCUCGUAGGCGGUCUGUCGCGUCGAAUGUGAAAACCCGGGGCUCAACCCCGGGCCUGCAUUCGAUACGGGCAGACUAGAGUUCGGUAGGGGAGUCUGGAAUUCCUGGUGUAGCGGUGAAAUGCGCAGAUAUCAGGAGGAACACCGGUGGCGAAGGCGGGACUCUGGGCCGUACCUGACGCUGAGGCGCGAAGGCUAGGGGAGCGAACGGG
rnacentral:rRNA from 1 species